GUUUUCAUAUUUCAUCUUCCAGUGCUAUUUCAUGUUCUGUCUAUGAUUGAUAAUUCAGCUGAAAUUCUAAUCAGAGUUGGUGGGGUUCUUAAAAUGAUUAAAAGAUAUAUGCAAAUAUAACGUCUCUGAUUUGUCUAUAAUGGAUCGAUGGAUUUCAUUUUCAAGUAUUUUUUUAAUAUAUAUAUUUUUCCUGUGCUGGUGUACUAAACUACCAACACAUAUGCGGCGAGAAGAUCCAUAAUAAGUUGUUUAAUGGGAUUUGAUUGUAAGUGGAAUGUGAGAAAUGAUGAUUAA
rnacentral:misc_RNA from 1 species